UACAUGGGGUGCAACCGUUGCUCGGAAUCAUUGGGCGUAAAGCGCGCGUAGGCGGUUACUUAAGUCGAAUGUGAAAGCCCUCGGCUUAACCGAGGAAGUGCAUCCGAAACUGAGUAGCUAGAGUACGAAAGAGGGUCGCGGAAUUCCCGGUGUAGAGGUGAAAUUCGUAGAUAUCGGGAGGAACACCGGUGGCGAAGGCGGCGACCUGGGUCGAGACUGACGCUGAGGCGCGAAAGCCAGGGGAGCGAACGGG
rnacentral:rRNA from 1 species